CUGUGGUGGACAAGAUUAUUUUCCGCUUUGAGGUUGACUCAAAAUAUGUUUCCGUACAAACUGCAGGCUACAAUUAAGGGGGAAUCGUUAUGUAAUAGAAGAAUAUUACUCCUAGAAAUGAUUUGUUUUUUCUGAACUGGUUUUUUGGGUGUAAACUAAAAGAAUCUUACUGUUGAGCUGAAAUUUUUCAGAUGCAGUGGUCCUGCCUCCUCGGACAAGUUGCGAUGUUCAUAUUUCAGACUAUUCUGGGUCAAGGUUGCUGCCGUGUGACCAGUAGGUUACGGGUUCGAGCAGUGAAAAUAAUCUCUUGCUUCAAUGUAGGGUAAGGUUGCGUACAAUAGACUUUUAUGGUCCGGCCCUUCCCCGAACCCGCACAUAGCGGAAGCUUAGUGCAUCGGGUUGCCCUUUAAUAUAUGUGCUAAUAGAGUAAAUGUUGAACAUCUAUCGUGGUUGAAGAAUCAGGAAAAUGUAGUUUCGUUGCCUAUGGGAAGCCACUGUAAUUCUUAACCGCAUUGAGAUAUUGCAACAUAUUUGUAGAGAGUGCAUAUGAAUUGCUAAUUAUGAGUUUCAAUGAUAAAAAAAUAAUAUAUCACAUGUGGUGCAGGAGUACAAGGAAUAAAACAAAGGAAUCAAGAAGCAAUACCAUUCAAGAAUAGAUUAAGGAAAUAAUCUAUUACCGGAGCAAUGCAAGGGAAUAAUCAAUAAUUAGAGAAGCAGCGGAGAUACGGAAGAAGAAUCAAUCAAUGAUUCGAUAAAUGAUUGACGGAAGCUAAUACAGAAAGGUCCCAAAUCAAAGGCAAACAAGAUCGCAAAGGACUGCACUGGAGAUUAUUAAAGCCAGAAAUCAAGGGAUCUAUCGCAAAUCACUCAAGUAACGAAAAGAUAUGCCUGGCGGAUGAAAAGCUUGUCAAGACCACAAAUCAAGGAAGAUCAACGGAAACUUGACUUUAUUCUUGGAAAGAAUCAAUCUAUGAUUCUGUUCAAAGAUCAACUCCCUUGGAUUUGUAAUCUCUCAAGAUUCACGUCAUUCAAAAGUCAAGAAGGCCUCACGAAGUAUAUAUAUACAUAUGUUCCAGACUUGAAGUGAAUAUACUUUGAUCAAACCAAC
rnacentral:lncRNA from 1 species